rnacentral:rRNA from 1 species
GACGAACGCUGGCGGCGUGCUUAACACAUGCAAGUCGAACGGAAAGGCCUUGUUAGCUGGCUCUUGCGGGGGGCAAGGGGUGGGUAACUGGGGGAUACUUUGCCAUCCACUUCGGCUUAGGCGGGGAAAAAGGGAUCUAUUCCCGAAUAGCGGCUAUUUUUGGGUGGUUGGUUGAAAGGUUUUUUGGUGGUAGGUUGAGUUGGCGGCCUAUUGGCUGGUUGGGGGGUUAAUGGCUUACAAGGCCGCCAAGGCGUAGCGGGCUUGCGGGGGUGAACGGCCACACUGGGACUGAGAUGCGGCCCAGACUCCUACGGGAGGCAGCAGUGGGGAAUAUUGCACAAUGGGCGCAAGCCUGAUGCAGCGAGGCCGCGUGUGGGAUGACGCUCUUCGGGUUGUAGACUCCUUGCGCUAGGGACGAAGCUUUUUGUGACGGUACCUAGAGAAGAAGCACCGGCUAACUACGUG